rnacentral:rRNA from 1 species
AUUGAACGCUGGCGGCAUGCCUUACACAUGCAAGUCGAACGGCAGCACGGGUGCUUGCACCUGGUGGCGAGUGGCGAACGGGUGAGUAAUACAUCGGAACAUGUCCUGUAGUGGGGGAUAGCCCGGCGAAAGCCGGAUUAAUACCGCAUACGAUCCACGGAUGAAAGCGGGGGACCUUCGGGCCUCGCGCUAUAGGGUUGGCCGAUGGCUGAUUAGCUAGUUGGUGGGGUAAAGGCCUACCAAGGCGACGAUCAGUAGCUGGUCUGAGAGGACGACCAGCCACCUGGGGACUGGCCCACGCCCCAGACCCCUGCGGGGGGCAGCGUGGGGGAUUUUUGGACAAUGGGCGAAAGCUUGACCAAGCAAUGCCGCGUGUGGAAAGAAGGCCUUCGGUUGUUAAACCUUUUUUGCCGGGAAAGAAGCCUUGGACUCUAAUACGGGCGGGGGAUGCCGUUCCCGAAAAAAUAACCCCCGCCAAACUACGCC